rnacentral:misc_RNA from 1 species
AAACCAUCGAACUUGAAUAUCAUAGACUAAUGACUAACGCUCUAAUUGAUAGCGAAAAAUGAUAAAGGUUUGGAUUUUGCAAUGUCAAAGCAUCGCAAGGAAAUAUGCGAGCGUCUCACAGUUUAAAAACCUACCGUCUCGCGUUUGUACCUUUUCGAAUAUUCUUCCUUUCCUCGUCUAUCUCGUUCAUAAGGAACGUGGGAUAUACAAAAGCUAGAAAACAUUAAAUUUACAUAUGAUCGAAUAGUAGAAGCAAAUAUUUCAAAACUGUAUAUUUUAAUAACAUCUGUGGAAAUAUAAUGUCCACUCGGGGUCACAUAGACCCGAGGAAGACAGCAAAGUCGAGCAAAUAUUUCCUUUGCUGUAUGUAUGAAAAUCAAAAUCAGGUAACGUUGGUCGUAGACUGCGACAUAAAUUCAACCGCGUUUGUCCGUGUUACGUUACGUAGCGUUAGAUACAGUUUUACGAACGACGCAGUGGAAAGCAAUUAAUUUGCCCUCGGCUGGAAAAUAAUAAAUUCUCUCCGCUAUUAGAAAUCAACGAAGUUUGGCAAACCAAGGACAUUGAUCACCAGAGACAUUGAAUACUUGCUACGCCUAUUUAUUUGGUCAGCGUGCACGUGCAACAUCACUCGCGUGUAGAAGGUUAGAAUGUCGUGUAAAACGAUAACACGCUUGUAUAAUCGUAGAGAGACUAACGACAACGUGACUGGCCAUUUGAUAAUUCCGUAUAUCCAUUAAUUUACCAAGAUAUUGUAAUACCGCACGUACGCUCGGUGCAUACUUUCGCAUAAACGUUGGCACAAUUGCUUUUAGAUAGCAGGAGAGUAACCAGCGAUAAUAUAUUUCACUGCGAAAUAUCAGUGCUAUUAAUAGCUUAAUAAAGGUUCUGGCAGAUCUGCAAAACUUUCCAGUGUUCCGGCUAUUUUCAACCAUUUUUCUUUCACCUUUAGUUUCCCGAUGCUCGUAAAAUAUCGAAUUAAACGUCCCAAUAGAUUUAGAUAUUAUUAG